AGAGUUUGAUCAUGGCUCAGGACGAACGCUGGCGGCGUGCUUAACACAUGCAAGUCGAACGGUGAUCCUGGUGCUUGCACCGGGUGAUCAGUGGCGAACGGGUGAGUAACACGUGAGUAACCUGCCCCCGACUCUGGGAUAACCCCGGGAAAUCGGAGCUAAUACCGGAUACGAGACGCACAGGCAUCUGUAGCGUCUGGAAAGAAUUUCGGUCGGGGAUGGACUCGCGGCCUAUCAGCUUGUUGGUGGGGUAAUGGCCCACCAAGGCGACGACGGGUAGCCGGCCUGAGAGGGCGACCGGCCACACUGGGACUGAGACACGGCCCAGACUCCUACGGGAGGCAGCAGUGGGGAAUAUUGCACAAUGGGCGCAAGCCUGAUGCAGCGACGCCGCGUGGGGGAUGAAGGCCUUCGGGUUGUAAACCCCUUUCAGCAGGGAAGAAGCGAGAGUGACGGUACCUGCAGAAGAAGCGCCGGCUAACUACGUGCCAGCAGCCGCGGUAAUACGUAGGGCGCAAGCGUUGUCCGGAAUUAUUGGGCGUAAAGAGCUCGUAGGCGGUUUGUCGCGUCUGCUGUGAAAACCCGAGGCUCAACCUCGGGCCUGCAGUGGGUACGGGCAGACUAGAGUGCGGUAGGGGAGACUGGAAUUCCUGGUGUAGCGGUGGAAUGCGCAGAUAUCAGGAGGAACACCGAUGGCGAAGGCAGGUCUCUGGGCCGCAACUGACGCUGAGGAGCGAAAGCAUGGGGAGCGAACAGGAUUAGAUACCCUAGUAGUCC
rnacentral:rRNA from 1 species